UCCGAAAAUGCCGCGUCUGGUCGGCGCCCAAAAUCCCCACCGAAAAGUCCCCCGUGCUGCGCGCGGAGGAACACAUCGCGCAUCGCGACCCCACUCUACUCUGUCAACUUAAUCCCUCAAUUGAAGCCAUGCCAAAACACCUCAGGAAAUGGAGUAAGUUCAGGGUAGAAACAUCCCCCAACUAACACUGACCAGCUGGCCCUGCCAGUCAUUGCUUUCUCUUUUCUAUUCCCAAGGACAUGUCCAGAUUGCACUUUAAGGGAGCUUGGGGCAACCCCCUACUCCCAAGCCACUUGUAACAAUGGAACUUUAAGAAUACUUACAUAUAGUGUGGCAGAGCUUAACAAAAGCCCUACCCAGAAGUGUGUGGAGGGAAGAGACCAGGUUUUAUAACACUUAUGGUUGAAGCAAGACUUGAAUCCAAGAAAGAGUCUACCCAUUGAGGCCUUAUGUUGGAUCUAAGUAUUGAUACUCCUUUCAUCUCCCUCUCCCACUCAUCCCCCCACAGAUAAAAAGCACUAUACUCAGGCAAAUCUAGACUCAACUAUGCCUAAAACAAUCCCUUGCUGACUACCCCACAAAGUGGGUCAGGUGAGGUAGACUUGAAGCUCCGUGGUGCACUUUUUCUGCUCCUGGAUUUCUGCAUCUCCAGCUCAGAGAACGUUAACACGACAGAGUUAAUAAGAGCACAACCUCCAGUUUUAUCCAGAGAUGUCCUUUGACCAGGCAGAAACACUGAAUCAUUGGAGAAGCUAUGCCAUGUUUGAUUCUAAAAAAGAUUUGACACUUGAGAUUGGAAAACUAGGAAGUGAGAAAGUAAGAGUUUCAAGUUAGUAGUAGUAAGAGAACAACUACAGAUAACUCCUGUGAGCCAGCCACGAGGUUAUCGGGAGAUCUGCCUUAAUACCAAACGCCUACGUCUGGCAGAGCCAGUGUGUGGUGAAGACACAAUCCUUCCCUGCUGCCGGGAUAAUCAAGAGUUUUGGCCAGACCUUUGAGCACACACUGAGAUAGUGAGGAGCCAGAUGCAAAGCACAGACUAUGGCACUGAAACUGAUUAAUAAGGAGCUUAGUGAUGGCCUGUUACCCUCCAGCACAAUGUUCUGCAAGUCCAGUGGGGAUGAUACGUUUCAUUGGCAAGCCACAAUUAUGAGACCUAAUGACAGUCUAUACCAAGGUUGUAUAUUCUUUCUGUCAAUUCAUUUUCCUACAGACCCCUUCAAACCAUCUCAUUUAUCAUCCAAAUCUUAACACAUUGCGUACUGCUCAUGAGUUUUCUCAUGUUUCGCACGCCAUCUGUUAAGGACCGCUCACGAGUUUUCUCAUUUUUCACUCACCAUCUGUUAUGGACCUUAGAUGUCAACACACUGUCUUGUCAACAUCUAAUGAAGCGAUCUCAUUGGUGGAAACCAUGCAGGUCAUCCUACGAAAAACUAUAUAAUUGCACGAACCCAUAAAGCAUUGCAGUUACAUUGUAUUUUGGUCAUUCAAAUAGUCUUCGUCUUCAAGUUCCUGGCGCUGUUAGAAAUGCCCUCUCAGAAAAAGGAAGGAAACCAACGAAACUGAUACACUUCUGGAAGUAUUUAACGAUAAUUUAUCAGAUAUUCCUAGUGAGAUCAAAGAUGCGGAUGACUGUUUUGACGAUUCUGGAGACAAUUCUACUCACAGUGAAAUUAUUAGACCUGUAAGGAAGCGCAAGGUGGCGGUGCUUUCAAUUGAUUCCGACACUGACGAAGCUACUGAUAAUUGUUGGUCUGAAAUUGACACACCACCAUGCUUACAAAUGUUUGAAGGUCAUGCUGGGGUCACUACAUUUCCUUCUCAGAGUGACUCUGUACCCUCUGUGACCAAUCUCUUUUUUGGUGAUGAAUUGUUUGAGAUGUUGUGCAAAGAGCUGUCCAACUAGCACGAUCAAACUGCAACGAAACAUAAAACACCAUCUAGAACGCUAAAGUGGUCUCCGGUUACACAGAAGGACAUCAAGAAAUUCCUUGGCCUAAUUAUUCUGAUGGGUCAAACAAUAAAAGGUAGCUUGAAAGACUAUUGGUCAACAGAUCGUUUGAUAUGUACCCCUAUAUUUCCACAGACAAUGAGUCGCCAUAGAUUUGAGCAAAUAUGGACAUUCUGGCAUUUCAAUGAUAACACCAAAAUGGACAGUCGUUUGGGGAGACUUUUCAAGAUCCAACCUGGGCUGGAUUAUUUCCUGCAUAAAUUUCGAACAAUAUACAAACCAAAGCAACAGUUGUCUUUGGACGAGGGAAUGAUUCCAUGGAGAGGACGUUUAAAAUUUUGCACGUACAACCCAGCGGAAAUAACAAAAUAUGGUUUACUUGUUCGGAUGGUGUGCGAGAGUGACACCAGCUGUAUCUGCAAUAUGGAGAUAUACACUGCUGAAGGAAAGAAAUUGCAAGAAACUGUUCUUUCAGUCCUUGGACCCUAUCUUGGCAUAUGGCACCAUAUUUACCAGGAUAAUUAUUACAAUGCUACAUCUACUGCUGAAUUGCUGCUACAGAACAAAACUAGAGUCUGUGGGACUAUUAGGGAGAGUAGAGGUUUACCACCAAAUUUGAAAAUGAAAACAUCAAGAAUGAAGAAAAGUGACAUAAUAUUUUCCAGAAAAGGUGAUAUUCUUCUCCUAGCAUGGAAAGACAAGUGCGUUAUCCAAAUGAUAUCAACGAUCCAUGACACUUCUGUCUCGACAACAGGAAAAAAAUAGAAAAACAGGAGAGAAUAUUAUAAAACCUACCUGCAUCAAGGAAUACAAUGCCCAUAUGAAAGGCGUUGACCGUGUGGAUCAAUUCCUUUCUUCUUGUUCCAUUCUAAGGAAAACUAUGAAAUGGACAAAAAAAGUAGUGCUGUACUUUAUAAACUGUGGACUUUUCAAUUCAUUUAGAGGUUACGACGUCCUCAAUCCACAAGCAAAAAUGAAGUAUAAACAGUUUCUGCUAUCAGUGGCGAGAGACUGGAUAACGGAUGACAAUAAUGAAGGCUCUCCGGAACCAGAGACAAAUCUGUCCAGCCCUUCCCCUGGGGGUGCAAGGAGAGCACCUCGUUAAGAUCCACCCAAAAGGUUGUCGGGUGAUAGGAAGCAGCAUGAACCUACAUGUAUUCCAGCGAGUGGAAAGAAAGUUUCCUACGAGAGCCUGCAGAGUUUGUGCCGCCCAUGGAAAAAGGAGCGAAUCUAGAUACUUAUGUAAAUUUUGUCUGGUCCCCCUUCACAGAGGAAAAUGUUUUACGCAGUACCAUACAUUAAAAAAGUACUAGGAACUUUAAUUGUUUGAUUGUUUUUGUAAAUAAAAAUGUUAUAAUUAUUGAAAAACAACACCUAAAGUGUAUUAUGAUCUGUAGUUAUGAUGAUUUAAGUAACGUGCAGUUUGCUCAAAAACGUGUGGUCCCUGGCAUAUGUCUUAGAGAUUUCUAUGCAGUACACAAUGUGUUAACAGUAAUGGCAGCAUUUGUCUUGAUAUUCUAAGAUCACAGCGGUCUCCUGCUUUAACUAUUUCUAAAGUUCUUUUAUCCAUUUGUACACUGCUGUGUGAUCCAAACCCAGAUGACCCCCUAGUGCAAGAGAUUGCACAGAUCUAUAAAACAGAUAAGUACAACAAACUAUCUGGGGAAUGGACUCAGAGGUAUACCAUAUGAUGGUACCUUAGAGUCAGAAUAACCUGCAUUAUAGCUGGAAUAAACUUUAAAUUACUGUUCCUUUUUUAUUAUUUUUGUGUCCAGCUGCUCCCCUAUCAGACCUCAUCUUAUUUAUUUUUUGUUUACCUCCGUUCCAUUCACUCACAUGCUCAUCUGAGGAGACUUAAGUUCUUCCAGCUUUGGAGAUUAACUGCUUUUAGAAACUGGAAAGUAGUUACAAGGGAACAGUUGCCCAAGAUUCAGAAUUUUUUUUUAAUGGAGGAUGUGUAUUAUGUGGCCAGUGUCUUCACUCUAACUUCGUUAUGAGACUAAAACCAUUCUUCACUGCUCUAACAUGCUGAAGAAAUCAUCUGAGGGAAAGGCAGAUGGAUGCCCACUUGUCACAUCAAAGGAAACAGCAUUAUUCUAGCAGCUUUCAUUCUUGUUUAAGCCUUCCACUGUUAGAGAUCUGAGGUUACAUGAUAUACUUUAUGCUCAUAACUGAUGUGGCUGGAGAAUUGGUAUUGAAUUUAUAGCAUCAGCAGAACAGAAAAUGUGAUGUAUUUUAUGCAUGUCUAUAAAGGAAUGACCUGUUCUUGUUCUACAGAGAAUGGAAAUUGAAAGUCAGACACCCUUUGUAUUCCAAAAUAGGGUCUCAAACAUUUUGUAAUUUUCAUUUAACUUGUUAAAAGGCUUGGAACUGUUCAUCUGUCUUCCAAUAUGCUGUUUAAUAUAGCACUGAAUAAAUGAUGCAAGUUGUCAAUGGAUGAGUGAUCAACUAAUAA